rnacentral:rRNA from 1 species
GUGUAAUCGAAGUGGGCGGAAUGAGGUGUGUAGCGGUGAAAUGCAUAGAUAUACCUCAGAACACCGAUAGCGAAGGCAGCUCACUAGCUUACAACUGACGCUGAGGCACGAAAGCGUGGGUAUCAAACAGGAUUAGAUACCUGGUAGUCCACGCAGUAAACGAUGAUCACUAGCUGUAUGCGAUACACAGUAUGUGGCUAAGCGAAAGCGAUAAGUGAUCCACCUGGGGAGUACGUCGGCAACGAUGAAACUCAAAGGAAUUGACGGGGGCCCGCACAAGCGGAGGAGCAUGUGGUUUAAUUCGAUGAUACGCGAGGAACCUUACCUGGGCUUGAACGUAUGGUGCAUGGUGGUGAAAGUCACCUUUCUACGGACUCCAUACGAGGUGCUGCAUGGCUGUCGUCAGCUCGUGCCGUGAGGUGUUAGGUUAAGUCCUGCAACGAGCGCAACCCCUGUUUCCAGUUGCCAGCAAGUUAAGUUGGGGACUCUGGAGAGACUGCCUACGCAAGUAGAGAGGAAGGUGGGGAUGACGUCAAGUCAGCACGGCCCUUACGUCCAGGGCUACACACGUGCUACAAUGGUCGGUACAGAGGGCAGCUUGGUGGUGACACUUGGCUAAUCCCGAAAGCCGGCCUAAGUUCGGAUCGGAGUCUGCAACCCGACUUCGUGAAGCUGGAUUCGCUAGUAAUCGUAUAUCAGCCAUGAUACGGUGAAUACGUUCCCGGGCCUUGUACACACCGCCCGUCAAGCCAUGGAAGUCAGGGGUACCUGAAGUCGGUGACCGAAAGGAGCCGCCUAGGGUAAACCUGAUGACUGGGGCU